rnacentral:rRNA from 1 species
GACGAACGCUGGCGGCGUGCUUAACACAUGCAAGGCGAACGGAAGGGCCGUGCGUUUGUGGGGUGCUCGAGUGGCGAACGGGUGAGUAACACGUGAGUAACCUGCCCUGGACUUUGGGAUAACUUCAGGAAACUGGGGCUAAUAACGGAUAGGAGCUCCUGACGCAUGGUGGGGGUUGGAAAGUUUCGGCGGUUGGGGAUGGACUCGCGGCUCAUCAGCUUGUUGGUGGGGUAGUGGCUUACCACGGCUUUGACGGGUAGCCGGCCUGAGAUGGUGAACGGCUUCGCCGGGACCGGGAGACGGCCCAGCCUCCUACGGGACCCACCACUGGGCAGCAUCGCCCACGGCGCCCACGCCUGAUGUCGGCACGCCGCGUGCGGGAUGCCGGCCUCCGGGCUGUAAUCGGCUUUCGCACGUGCCGGAGCCUGUCUCCCGGCAACCGGUAAAGACGCACCGGCUAACUACGUG